UGCAGUCGAGCGGANCUUUCGGGGUCAGCGGCGGACGGGUGAGUAACACGUGGGCAAUCUGCCCGAUACUCUGGGAUAACGCUUGGAAACGAGUGCUAAUACCGGAUGGUCUUCUUGGCCGCAUGGCCGAGAAGGAAAAGACGCGUUCGCGUCGGUGUCGGAUGAGCCCGCGGCGCAUUAGCUAGUUGGUGAGGUAACGGCCCACCAAGGCGACGAUGCGUAGCCGACCUGAGAGGGUGACCGGCCACACUGGGACUGAGACACGGCCCAGACUCCUACGGGAGGCAGCAGUAGGGAAUCUUCCACAAUGGGCGAAAGCCUGAUGGAGCAACGCCGCGUGAGUGAUGAAGGCCUUCGGGUUGUAAAACUCUGUCAUUCGGGACGAACCGGAGUCUGAGGAAAUGCAGACUCUCUGACGGUACCGGAGGAGGAAGCCCCGGCUAACUACGUGCCAGCAGCCGCGGUAAUACGUAGGGGGCAAGCGUUGUCCGGAUUCACUGGGCGUAAAGCGCGCGCAGGCGGUGAUGUAAGUCUGAGGUGAAAACCCGAAGCUCAACUUCGGGACUGCCUUGGAUACUGCGUCACUUGAGGAUAGGAGAGGCAAGGGGAAUUCCACGUGUAGCGGUGAAAUGCGUAGAGAUGUGGAGGAACACCKGUGGCGAAGGCGCCUUGCUGGCCUAUUUCCGACGCUGAGGCGCGAAAGCGUGGGGGAGCAAACAGGAUUAGAUACCCUGGUAGUCCACGCUGUAAACGAUGAGUGCUAGGUGUAGGUGGGCUCAUACCCAUCUGUGCCGAAGCUAACGCAUUAAGCACUCCGCCUGGGGAGUACGGUCGCAAGACUGAAACUCAAAGGAAUUGACGGGGGCCCGCACAAGCAGUGGAGCAUGUGGUUUAAUUCGAAGCAACGCGAAGAACCUUACCAGGACUUGACAUCCCAUAGACCAGUCUAGAGAUAGACUUUCCCUUCGGGGCUGUGGUGACAGGUGGUGCAUGGUUGUCGUCAGCUCGUGUCGUGAGAUGUUGGGUUAAGUCCCGCAACGAGCGCAACCCUUACUUUGUGUUGCCAGCAUUCAGUUGGGCACUCACAAGGGACUGCCGCCGAUAAGGCGGAGGAAGGUGGGGGUGACGUCAAAUCAUCAUGCCCCUUAUGUCCUGGGCUACACACGUGCUACAAUGGGCGGUACAACGGGAUGCGAAGCCGCGAGGUGGAGCCAAACCCUGAAAACCGUUCGUAGUUCGGAUUGUAGGCUGCAACUCGCCUACAUGAAGCCGGAAUUGCUAGUAAUCGCGGAUCAGCAUGCCGCGGUGAAUCCGCUCCCGGGCCUUGUACACACCGCCCGUCACACCACGAGAAUGGGCAACACCCGAAGUCGGUGGGGUAACCUUUACGGGAGCUAGCCGCCGAAGGUGGGGCCUGUGAUUGGGGUG
rnacentral:rRNA from 1 species